rnacentral:rRNA from 1 species
AUUGAACGCUGGCGGAAUGCUUUACACAUGCAAGUCGAACGGCAGCACGGAGAGCUUGCUCUCUGGUGGCGAGUGGCGAACGGGUGAGUAAUAUAUCGGAACGUGUCCAUUAAUGGGGGAUAACGAGUCGAAAGAUUCGCUAAUACCGCAUACGCCCUACGGGGGAAAGCAGGGGAUCGUAAGACCUUGCGUUAAUGGAGCGGCCGAUAUCUGAUUAGCUUGUUGGUGAGGUAAAGGCUCACCAAGGCGACGAUCAGUAGCUGGUUUGAGAGAACGACCAGCCACACUGGAACUGAGACACGGUCCAGACUCCUACGGGAGGCAGCAGUGGGGAAUUUUGGACAAUGGGGGCAACCCUGAUCCAGCCAUUCCGCGUGAGUGAAGAAGGCCUUCGGGUUGUAAAGCUCUUUCGCAAGGGAAGAAAACUUAUGAUCGAAUAAAUCAUGAGGUUGACGGUACCUUGAUAAGAAGCACCGGCUAACUACGUGCCAGCAGCCGCGGUAAUACGUAGGGUGCGAGCGUUAAUCGGAAUUACUGGGCGUAAAGCGUGCGCAGGCGGUUUUGUAAGUCGGAUGUGAAAUCCCCGGGCUCAACCUGGGAACUGCGUUCGAAACUGCAAGGCUAGAGUGUGUCAGAGGGGGGUAGAAUUCCACGUGUAGCAGUGAAAUGCGUAGAGAUGUGGAGGAAUACCAAUGGCGAAGGCAGCCCCC